CCAGUUUAGAUAAGAUUUUGGCGUGGAUAAGGAGGAGGAACCUGUACCCUCUGAAGCAGAUAAGCCACUUUCCCAAUGUAAAGAAAGAGAAUACAGCAUUAAAGCUUUCUUGCUGUCUACUCCAGAUUUAUCAACAGCUUCUUCACAAAAGUCUCAGGACUAAAAGCUUGUGAAGUUUUGUAAAAUACUACUGGAAAAUAGCACUUGAAAGGUAACAAGAGGAAAGGCAGGGCUUGCAAAGCACCUGGCCCUGGCCAAAAUCCACUCAAGGUCACCCGAAUUACUGCUGGGGGCCAAGGGGGGGCUGUCCGGUUGCUCCAGGUAUAUGAGGAUGAGCCCGGGUUUUGGAAGGGAUGCUGCUCACCGAAUGAGCAGCUGGGUGUCUCUUCUUGUCCCUGCGCACACUGCACAGUCUAUAUUUAUUACACAAUUUUCACCCUUCAGUGGCUCGGAUGUUUUGCCUGCAUUUUGUUGCUGACCCUCGGGCCAAUCCUCAAAACAAUAUUUGCUCAGGGUUUUGUGUGUGCGUGUAGCUUUUAAAAAAAUAAAUAAAUUCCAGACAGGUGGAAACUUCCCUUCUUGAUUUCUACCAGCACUCCCCUUUAUCAUCUCAAGCUAAUGGGAUGCUCCUGCUUUAGACCACUGCACCGGGGCUGGAUUCAGCCCCACAGAAUCCGCCUGCUUAUGCCGAUAAGCUCCUCCACCAUCCCUCUGCCUGGCCGUGCCUCCCCACCCCGCCUGGCGCCUGAUUAUAUUGGGUCUGCAUGUGUAAGUACAGCCUCCUGCCAUCCUAAUCAUCUAAAGUGGCUAUUUGAAUAACAGUUGUUGGUGCCUGUAGUUUCCUGUAAUUUCCAAAAGGAAACAAAUCCAUGCAGACUGCAAUUUUGUGCCUAUGAAUUUUGAAUGAACGUCUCGGAGAGCCUUGUGCAGGGACUUGAUUUCUCUCCCCCUUCCUGCCUCUGCCUCUUGGACCCAGCCCGCUGAGUCCAGGGGCUCGGUGGAGUGGCUCCUUGUAGGGCCAGGUGUGGGGCCAGUGAUGCUUGAUGUGGGAAAGAAGCAUGGAACAAAACAGCCUGAGCUGGAAGGGACCCGCAGGCACCAUCAAGCCCAACUCCUGGCUCCACAAAUGAUGAUGAGAUGCUGGUGCUCAUCCAGCAAUGCAAGGACGGUGGCAGGAUUGUGCCCGGCACCCUCGUGCUCAGCAGGACCAACAGGGCACAGAGGCAGGAGCAUCCCUCAAACCUCAGGAAUUAUCCCAGGUGCUACCUCCAACCUAAGCCUGGGAGGUCGCCCUGCACCCAUAGCCUGGUGGCAUCUGCCCUGCUGGAGAUGCCACUGCCAGCCUGGCUGUCACUGGGGCAGGCUCUUCGGCCUCCAGACCUGAGCAGCUAUCAGACAUUUCUCCUCCAGAGCUGAUUUUCACGACAGCGACAAUCCCUAUUUAUAACCUUCUCCCUUCCGCCUUCCCCUCCUGUUCUGCUGUGUGCAACUUUAUGACAGCGAGGGUUCUCCUUUUUAUGACAUUGUUGUUUUUAAAGUGUUUUUAUCACCUGAUUUUAUUACAAAAUUACCGUACAGCACCCCAAGUACCACAGCAGUGGGAAGGGAGAGCAGCGCUGGAGACGCAGCAACCCUCUCCUGAACAGCUUGCUGCCUCGCUGGGAAGUGCCUGUGAUUUGGUGAUGGAUGGAGUGCUUGUUAUCCAGUAUAUUUUUAUCCAUAGAUAUAUAAAGCACUUUGUGAUCCCAGUGGAUACAAGGAACUAUAUAAAUGUAAAUCAUUAUCAUUAUCAUUAAAUACCUUCUGCAUCUUUUAAACCUACCAGUUGGAAUCAAACACGUAUGGGGCAGCUGGUGUCUGAGCUUUAGCCGCUGAACCAAAUGCAGGAGGGGUGAUUUUUUUCCUUUGUUAGCAAUUAAAUGUGAUAUCAUAAAAGACUUUAUUUUCCCUUUGCAAUUUUUCAUGCUGCCUCUUGAUUUGAAAGUCACUUCUCGCCCACUAUGAGAAAUCUGUGCAGGCUCCCCUAGCAACAACCUGAAUAAGAAGCAGCUGCCUCGGCUCCGCUGAUGCUCCCGCGUUACUGGGACCCAGCGCCAGCUGCAUCCUGCAGCAUCACCGGGGGGUGAGGGCCAUGAGAGCAUCCUCCCCGUGAGGCUGGGCCUCAGUGAGCAGUGCAUGAUUGCUGUGUGAUUUAUGACUGGAAGGAGAACAGAGACUCUCGUGUCCAAAAGUAUGACUCGGCAGCAUUUCUGCUUGGCUGCUGCCCAGCCCCAGAAAUAACUGACCGCACGAAACCGCCUUCUCUUGGAUGCCAUCCAUGUUGCAGCCGAUCCAAGCCUGAAGGACUUGCUCAAGGUCGCACGUGGAGGCCUUGGCAGCACAGAAGUGAACUCGUGUGCUUCUAUCUGGGCUAUAAAUCAUUGGAUUCCCUUUCUGCCCACACCACCAGGACAACACACAGGGUUUUCCUACAAGUGCUGAGCCCGUAUUUUGUCACCAAGCCUAUUGUCCUUCCUGCAUGUCCAGCCCAGCUACCUGUGUGCCUGGUCAUUGGCUCCUGGCAGCUGCUGCUUCCCAUGCCCACCUCAA